CCCGGUCCCCGUACGAACACCGAAGUUAAGCUAAGAUGAACUUGGUCAGUACUUAUAUGGGUAACCGCUUGGAAAUAUCAGGGGCUGUA